rnacentral:lncRNA from 1 species
UUAAACCGUUUUUAUCAUGAUCGUGGUUUCGUGGUUUCCAUCACCUCAUUCCUUGUGAUUAAUUUGCAACACAAGACACCUCAAACAAACGGAAACCACAUCAAAACAGAUCGCAAAAUGGUCUUGUGUAACAUGUUGUCAAAUCUUCUCCACUCACCUCAGAGAGGGCGUAGUGCGGACAAUUGUUUGGAGACACCGCAGACGGAGAGUUUGGAAGACUUAUUCAAGAAUAUGAUUUCUCCCAGGAGUGCCCAGAAAUCUGUCGGCAUCAGCAGUGUUGGUGGGCCUGCAACAGCAGUGAGGAGAGAAAUGGAAGUUCAGCAAACACAGAUGUUCGCUUUUCCACACACUCCUCUUGAAAGCUCACCUUUAUUUCGAACCGUCCAUCCAAAACCCUUCAUGGCUCCAAAGAGAGGGCGUUUUGAGGACGAUUGUUCGAGGACGCCUGAGAUGGAGAGUUUGCAAGAAUUACUCAAGACUAAACUUUCCCUCAGCAUAGAUGAACGUAUGGACACCAGCAGUGUUGGUGAAGAUGCAACAGAAAUGGAAGUUGAGCAAACAGAGACGUUGGCUUUUCUGCACACACCUUAUGAAGGCUCAUCUUUAUUUCAAAGCGUCCAUCCAAAACCCUCCAUGACUCGAAAGAUGAUCAACUCAAACUUCCGCUUUUUGCAUCUUUGGCCCCGACCUUUGACAACGGCUGAUGUUCUCCGUUCCAGUGCAGCUUGGAAAAGCACGACCUUCAGAGCUCGGUUUGUUUACUCAAAAACAACAUUAAUUGGAGUGACACAUGAAGAAUUUUCCUGGGACAACAACAAAAUUGGAUCCAACACAAACUUUAAGGUAACACUUUCCAAAUACAACUCAAGGUUUUUUUUUUUUUUUUACUCUUGAAAAUAAAAUCUCAUUUUAUUAAAUA